rnacentral:rRNA from 1 species
CAGACUCCUACGGGAGGCAGCAGUGGAGGAAUAUUGGUCAAUGGGCGAGAGCCUGAACCAGCCAAGUAGCGUGCAGGAUGACGGCCCUAUGGGUUGUAAACUGCUUUUAUAAGGGAAUAAAGUGAGCCUCGUGAGGCUUUUUGCAUGUACCUUAUGAAUAAGGACCGGCUAAUUCCGUGC